ensembl:snRNA Gm25884 predicted gene, 25884
AGCUAGCACAGUUCUCUUAGAAUUUUUCUAGCCGGUUUUCUGACUUUGGUCGGAAAACUUGA